rnacentral:lncRNA from 1 species
AAAAGAAGAAGAACAAGGAAGGUUUUCAUCUGCCUGCUUUAACAGGACACCAUUCCAGCCUGUACUCUGCACUUCUCCCUGUUUACAGCAGCAGAUAACACCUGGCUGACUAGAGAGGUGGGAAGUCCUUUGAAUGGUGGUCACCAGAAACAAAGACAUGAGGGAGUACAGCAGAGUCUUGGCUGCUUGGUGUCAAGCCUGAGAAACCCUGUGAGAAAUAAGAAGUCUGCAGAAACUCCUACUCCAUUUCUCUUAUAUGUUGUCCUCCUGCAUUUCUCCUGAGAAUGCAAUGGAAGGAAUGAAAAGACAUUGUGCUGGCUCUUAAGGCUGGAAACUGCUGUGAGAAGUGGGAAGAGAAAGUAAGCCCAGAAGAAGACAAGAGAGAUGUAAUGUAAAGGCUGGACUACAGUCACCCUCUACCCACUGAAAUAUUUCUCAGGUGUAAAGCAAAAUAGCUAAGCAGUGUAAUAUCACAUUAAGGAAGUAAGCAUACAACAUAUUUUUCCUUGGAAGAAUUUAACUUAAAAAUCUCAAUCUCUCAUACUAUCUCAAAUAAAUCUAAUAACAAUUUUUCUAUUAGUUUUCUC